rnacentral:rRNA from 1 species
GAUGAACGCUGGCGGCGUGCCUAAUACAUGCAAGUCGAGCGAACAGACGAGGAGCUUGCUCCUCUGACGUUAGCGGCGGACGGGUGAGUAACACGUGGAUAACCUACCUAUAAGACUGGGAUAACUUCGGGAAACCGGAGCUAAUACCGGAUAAUAUAUUGAACCGCAUGGUUCAAUAGUGAAAGACGGUUUUGCUGUCACUUAUAGAUGGAUCCGCGCCGCAUUAGCUAGUUGGUAAGGUAGCGGCUUACCAAGGCAACGAUGCGUAGCCGACCUGAGAGGAUGAUCGGCCACACGAGAACUGAGACACGGUCCAGACUCCUACGGGAGGCAGCAGUAGGGAAUCUUCCGCAAUGGGCGAAAGCCUGACGGAGCAACGCCGCGUGAGUGAUGAAGGUCUUCGGAUCGUAAAACUCUGUUAUUAGGGAAGAACAAAUGUGUAAGUAACUAUGCACGUCUUGACGGUACCUAAUCAGAAAGCCACGGCUAACUACGUG